AUUGAACGCUGGCGGCAUGCCUUACACAUGCAAGUCGAACGGUAACGGGCCUUCGGGUGCCGACGAGUGGCGAACGGGUGAGUAAUGCAUCGGAACGUACCUUUCAGUGGGGGAUAACGUAGCGAAAGUUACGCUAAUACCGCAUAUUCUGUGAGCAGGAAAGCAGGGGAUCGCAAGACCUUGCGCUGAUUGAGCGGCCGAUGUCAGAUUAGGUAGUUGGUGGGAUAAAAGCUUACCAAGCCGACGAUCUGUAGCUGGUCUGAGAGGACGACCAGCCACACUGGGACUGAGACACGGCCCAGACUCCUACGGGAGGCAGCAGUGGGGAAUUUUGGACAAUGGGCGAAAGCCUGAUCCAGCAAUGCCGCGUGCAGGAUGAAGGCCUUCGGGUUGUAAACUGCUUUUGUACGGUAACGAAAAGGACUCUGGCUAAUACCUGGAGCAUAUGACGGUACCGUAAGAAUAAGCACCGGCUAACUACGUGCCAGCAGCCG
rnacentral:rRNA from 1 species